rnacentral:rRNA from 1 species
CUACAUGAAGCUGGAAUUGCUAGUAAUCAUAGGUCAGCAUACUAUGGUGAAUACGUUCCCGGGCCUUGUACACACCGCCCGUCACACCAUGAGAGUUGAGAAUACCCGAAGUCCAUGUCAAAGUGGCCGAAGGUAGGCUUGAUGAUUGGGGUGAAGUCGUAACAAGGUACC